GUUACAUGGCUAUAAAAGGAACCAAACUGGUUUAGAAAUUCCGAAUCCACAGUAAAUCUUAUGACUCAUUUGGAUUAGAGAAUUGUCUGCAGGGAGAGAUGAUUUGUCCAUUAUUUUCCUGACCGGCUUGGACCUAGAUGACUCCUCGGAUAAACACAGGUUAUGCCCAAGCUUAAAGGAGAGGUUCAAAGUCUUUGGGAGGAAGGAAAGUUCAAGGUGAAAAAGAAGAACAAAAACAGAACAACUGACAUUUCCAUCAAGUGGCCCUUAGAACAAUCUACCAACUAACAGCUCUCUGUAAAGGUUGCUGAUGUUCUAUUUUAUAAAGGUUAGACAGAACUGGGUACAUAAUCUGCAGAACCCAUUGCAAUAUAAAAAUGCAGGCCACUUGUUCAAUAAUUAUAAGAAUUUCAAAAUGGUAACAGCAAAGUAGUGACUACGCGUGGACCCUUACAAGCAUUGGGUCCCAUGUCACUGCCAAAAUCACCUAUUCCUGAAGGCUGCCCUGAAGUUAGAUGUGCUCUUGCUAAAUCUUUAGUUUCUCUUAGGAUGCCUUCAUUGACUGAUGCAUUAAUCCAACAAAAGUGGUUAUGUGUCUCUGAAGUCCAAAGAGCAUACAGAUCAUGCCAUCAUGGUUUUCCAGAUUUUUAAUUUUUAUGUGGCAUUACCUAAAAAAUAAAAACUUAUGGCGGCCUUCUACUUUAUUUUCUUGUAGGGCUUCACUGGACAUAAAGA